rnacentral:lncRNA from 7 species
AUCCAUCCCAGUGCAAAUCAGCAUCCAACAAAUCCACUAGGCUACUCUCCCCUCACGAGCAAGCAGCUGAAGCCAUAUGGCUCGCCAGGCCACCGCCCUGGUCGCAUCUGCCUUGCUACUGCUGGCAGUAGCCUUCACGUCUCAUGAUGCUGGUGUGGAAGCGUGGUGCCUAGAGUACCCGGCGCCGGACCCCAACGCCUGCCACGGAAGCGACGGCCUUCGUUACUGCCGCGACGAGUGCGUGGCGGUCGGCAAUGGCUUCGUCGGCGGGGAGUGCAAUAAGGGCACUUGCUUCUGCCUCAAGUGCGCCGACGAGCCACCACCGGCGCCGCGUGCUCUGUAGGGCUCAUGUAGAGUCUGCAACGGAUGCACAUGCAUCAUGCGCAGCGCCGCAGAUGCACCGUGCAUGCAUUAGGAGUGUUUUUUUAUAAUUAAGAAAGAUGAAGUUUCAAUUCAUAAACCAUGCGGUGUGUGGAAAAAAACAUGAUUUAUUUUUGCAGUGAUCUGAGUAACAUUC